CCCUUGGCCCAGCUGAGAGCCUGGAGGAGGGGGUGGGGCUCAUUCUUGUUCUUACUUCAGCCCCGCCUUGGGUGUCCUGUUCAGCAUCGAGGUCAUGUCUUCCCACUUCUCUGUCUGGGAUUACUGGAGGGGCUUCUUUGCGGCCACCUGCGGGGCCUUCAUGUUCCGGCUCCUGGCGGUCUUCAACAGUGAGCAGGAGACCAUCACCUCCCUCUACAAGACCAGUUUCCGGGUGGACGUUCCCUUCGACCUGCCUGAGAUCUUCUUUUUUGUGGCGCUGGGUGGCAUCUGCGGCGUCCUGAGCUGCGCUUACCUCUUCUGUCAGCGAACCUUCCUCAGCUUCAUCAAGACCAAUCGGUUCAGCUCCAAACUGCUGGCCACCAGCAAGCCUGUGUACUCUGCUCUGGCCACCUUGCUUCUUGCCUCCAUCACCUACCCGCCUGGUGUGGGCCACUUCCUAGCUUCUCGGCUGUCCAUGAAGCAGCAUCUGGACUCGCUGUUCGACAACCACUCCUGGGCGCUGAUGACCCAGAACUCCAGCCCACCCUGGCCCGAGGAGCUCGACCCCCAGCACCUGUGGUGGGAAUGGUACCACCCGCGGUUCACCAUCUUUGGGACCCUUGCCUUCUUCCUGGUUAUGAAGUUCUGGAUGCUGAUUCUGGCCACCACCAUCCCCAUGCCUGCCGGCUACUUCAUGCCCAUCUUCAUCCUUGGAGCUGCCAUCGGGCGCCUCUUGGGAGAGGCUCUUGCUGUCGCCUUCCCUGAGGGCAUCGUGGCUGGAGGGGUUACCAAUCCCAUCAUGCCCGGGGGGUAUGCUCUGGCAG
rnacentral:sRNA from 1 species